rnacentral:rRNA from 1 species
UGGGGAAUCUUGCACAAUGGGGGAAACCCUGAUGCAGCGACGCCGCGUGAGCGAUGAAGGUUUUCGAAUCGUGAAGCUCUGUCCUAUGGGAAGAUAAUGACGGUACCAUGGGAGGAAGCCCCGGCUAACUACGUGCCAGCAGCCGCGGUAAUACGUAGGGGGCGAGCGUUGUCCGGAAUUACUGGGCGUAAAGGGUUCGCAGGCGGCAUGGCAAGUCCGAUGUAAAAGGCGAAGGCUCAACCUUCGUAAGCAUCGGAAACUGUCAAGCUUGAGUGAAGGAGAGGCAAGUGGAAUUCCUAGUGUAGCGGUGGAAUGCGUAGAUAUUAGGAGGAAUACCGGUGGCGAAGGCGACUUGCUGGACUUCAACUGACGCUGAGGAACGAAAGCGUGGGUAGCAAACAGG